AAGGGCGUGCUAAUCUGCGAUAAGCGUCGGUAAGGUGAUAUGAACCGUUAUAACCGGCGAUACCCGAAUGGGGAAACCCAGUGUGAUUCGUCACACUAUCAUUAACUGAAUCCAUAGGUUAAUGAGGCGAACCGGGGGAACUGAAACAUCUAAGUACCCCGAGGAAAAGAAAUCAACCGAGAUUCCCCCAGUAGCGGCGAGCGAACGGGGAGGAGCCCAGAGCCUGAAUCAGCAUGUGUGUUAGUGGAAGCGUCUGGAAAGGCGCGCGAUACAGGGUGACAGCCCCGUACACAAAAGCGCAUGUGCUGUGAGCUCGAUGAGUAGGGCGGGACACGUGGUAUCCUGUCUGAAUAUGGGGGGACCAUCCUCCAAGGCUAAAUACUCCUGACUGACCGAUAGUGAACCAGUACCGUGAGGGAAAGGCGAAAAGAACCCCGGCGAGGGGAGUGAAAAAGAACCUGAAACCGU
rnacentral:rRNA from 1 species